GCGAGAGUAGCUCAGGGGUAGAGCACAACCUUGCCAAGGUUGGGGUCGCGGGUUCGAAUCCCGUUUCUCGCU
rnacentral:tRNA from 1 species